rnacentral:rRNA from 1 species
GGAAGGUGUGGAUGACGUCAAGUCCUCAUGGCCCUUACGGGUUGGGCUACACACGUGCUACAAUGGCAUCAACAGUGGGAUAAUCCCCAAAUGUUGUCUCAGUUCGGAUUGUCCUCUGCAACUCGAGGGCAUGAAGUCGGAAUCGCUAGUAAUCGCGUAACAGCAUGACGCGGUGAAUACGUUCCCGGGCCUUGUACACACCGCCCGUCACACCAUGGGAGUUGGGUUUACCCGAAGACGGUGCGCCAACCCUUCUGGGAGGCAGCCGGCCAAGGUGGGCUCAGCGACUGGGGUGAAGUCGUAACAAGGUAGCCGUAGGGGAACCUGUGGCUGGAUCACCUCCUAAGGGC